rnacentral:rRNA from 1 species
UACGGAGGGUGCAAGCGUUAUCCGGAUUCACUGGGUUUAAAGGGUGCGUAGGCGGGUCAGUAAGUCCGUGGUGAAAUCUCCAAGCUUAACUUGGAAACCGCCGUGGAUACUAUUGGUCUUGAAUGUUGUGGAGGUUAGCGGAAUAUGUCAUGUAGCGGUGAAAUGCUUAGAUAUGACAUAGAACACCAAUUGCGAAGGCAGCUGGCUACACAAAUAUUGACGCUGAGGCACGAAAGCGUGGGGAUCAAACAGG